rnacentral:tRNA from 1 species
GCACUAGUGGUUAACUGGUAAAAUAGUACCCUACCUCCGAAUAGACCCGGGUUCGACUCCCGGCUGGUGCA